GGGCAGAUGGCGGAACUGGCAGACGCGCUAGACUUAGGAUCUAGUGGGGCAACCCGUGGGGGUUCAAGUCCCCCUCUGCCCA
rnacentral:tRNA from 1 species